rnacentral:lncRNA from 1 species
AGAUAAGAGAUGGGGCGAAGGAUGAGGAGCCUCAGGUCUGUGGGUGGUGAAUGGCAUAGGUUGGAUCUCAGUAUGUCUCGUGAAAAUUCAUUAUGUGAUAUGGAGCCUCUUCUUCAAAAUACCGUAAGCGUGGUCUGGAUUUUUUUCUUAAGCCCUCCAACUGAUAUGGAGCAAGACAGUCAGACACCUUCACCUGAACCAGAUCCGUCUCCCUCAUCCCCAAUGACACCAUGGGUCCUCACCAGUGUGUGUGGAGCAAGGUAAUUUCUUCCUAAGGGCACUUCUAUUGACAAGGAGCUCCAAGGAUGGAGACAGUUUGGUCUACCUGGCUGGAAGAGACGUCCCUGCAUCCAAGCAAAGUGAACCCGUGAUGAGGAAAGGAAAAUGGGGAAAAAAAUGAUCACAUGUAUGCAGUAUAAAGUUUGUACAAUAAAAAAAUAAUGUCUUUAUAAAUUUACAUUUGCCUUUAAAUACCCUGUCUGCCCAAGUGAGAAACUGCUGUCCUCCUUUUGUGUGUGGUAAAGGGAGGUGGAGAACCCAGCCAAAGAUGCACACCAGGACCAAAACUAGCAAUGAUGGUGCAGUCUGGGGCUUCUCCUGAACCCUAAGGCCACCUCUCCUGUGGGGGAGGCAGUUCCUGCAAAACCCGGAUUGUCAGAUUGGGGAAGAGCUGGAGACUCACCUGGGCCGACAGGAGCAGGUGGUGGUCUUAACUUCGGUGAGAGUCCCAGCUGAAGGUUCUGAGGGUGGAGCCCCAGGAGAAUUGAAAGUUGUC